AAAACCGUGGACGUCUCAUAAACCACUAACACACACACACGCAAACACAGCUUAUUACCAUGGAAACCCAGCAAGACCAAUUUCCAGCAUACAAAAAAAUGUGAGCGAACAAAGCCGCUGUUCCUGCUUUGCAAAAUAAAUGUUCGUGUGCACACCGACAGAAAGUCCAACAGAAACCGUACGCCAAAAUACAGAAACAACCUCGAGGGUCUUUUCAGUUUGAAAUGACGUUUGUUUUUUCUUGUGUGCGGAAGAUGCAGAGCCGCCAAAGGAGAAGCGAGGCCCCGAUUUCCUCCCCCCCUCCUGGCAUCAUCCACUCGCUCGGUUCAUCUGUGCUCAGGCUCUUGAGGGGUCACGGCGGCCAACUGUGUUUCCAAAGAGAGCGAGCGGGCCAGGCCAUAUAUGGGCGUCGCUGUACGGCGGCUUUGAGGAAGUCGGCCGUCAGGGCGAAGAGCUCCCUCCUCUCCUCGCUGGUGGAACGAGAACUACACGAUCCGGCGUAGGGAGCUGUGCGAGCCCAUUCGCAGAAACACGCACGCCGCAUCAGCCCAGCCAAGUUGGCAGAGAGGGAGAAAAGGCGACGCCAUUCCUGAACAGGCCGUUUUGUUCUGCCGCUGACAUUUCGAGUAGAAGGAGCGUCUUUGUGAGGCCGAAGAAAGGACCAAACUGAGACAACGGGGGGUGCGUCAUUUCUUUACACUGAGCACCAUUGACGGCUUUAGAAGUCCAAUAUACAUGUUAACUGCGAAGGCUGGCACUGAAGGAGUUAAUUUACCAUUUCUGUGAUACAAUUAAGUGACUGCUAUUGAGGGGUAACACAUUUUGUUUGUGUUCACAUUUUCAAUGUUUAUUAACCAACUGACUAACAGGCCGUAGCGCCGGCGCGGUUAAGAACUGAAAACCUCGGCACUCGCCGCCGCUUAGUAUCAGGGACAGCUGUGUGUGCUGACAUUUAACAGGACAGCUCUGCAGCUAUGUGCACCCAUGUGCCCGUCAACAGUGAAACAAAACACCCCC